AAGAUGAUACAAUGCCUAUGUGAUGCGAUAAAGUGCAGUGAAUUAUGUAGGCAUUGUGACGUAGUGUUAAGCAACUAUUGACCUUCUGACAACUGGUCAGGAGGAUCAUCUGAUUCCAGACCAUGGUUGAUAACAGAUAACUGCAGGUAACUGCAGGAAGGAAAGCACAGCUUUGACCCAAGGGUGGACUGAAUUGGGAAACUCCAUUGUGAGCAUGCACAGCAAAAUUUCAAGAAAACCUAUCUUUCUUGCAAAAGAUCAGCAGAGGCCCCUUCUCAGCCUUUCCCCAAGUCCAGCUAUAAUCACAAGCUAUAUUGUUAUGGUGGAGGUAAGAGGAGCCUCAUCACAUGGAACUACAUGGCAGUUCAAGAGGACCUCAUCUGAAAGAACUCUGUAUUACAUUCUAUCCAGAAGAACCAGAAAAAGAGCCUCUUGGAGCCAGACUAUGGAGAAAUCCUGAACUGCAGAGAAUGGAAUAGGACAGUUCCUUCUAUCCUUGUAACCUGAAAAAUGGUAAUUCUGCUUCCUUUGACCUACAGAUCCGUCAGGGAACAAUUAUAAGUGCUGGCUGUAACAAGAACAGAUUUCAUGGACUAAAAGGUGAACUUUAAAUAGAGGCUGCAUGUUAUAGAGACACAAGAUUCAAGGCUCCUGAGAUCCUGCUACUAUGCUACACCACCAGGUCUAGAAUGAUUCUAUGACUCUCAUGUGAGAGGGAAAGAUAAUUUUUCUUGUUAAGCCACAGUUAUUCUGAGUUUUUUUUCUGUCAUUUGCUGCUUUACCCAACUCAAGCUAUUAUAGAAAUUUAUGCUAAAAUGAAGGGUCAACAGAAGUCUCUAUGAGGGACAGAGGUUUUAGCUAAGAUGUCAAGGAUGAAAAG